rnacentral:rRNA from 1 species
AUUGAACGCCGGCGGAAUGCUUUACACAUGCAAGUCGAACGGCAGCACGGACUUCGGUCUGGUGGCGAGUGGCGAACGGGUGAGUAAUGUAUCGGAACGUGCCCAGUCGUGGGGGAUAACGUAGUGAAAAUUACGCUAAUACCGCGUACGAUCUAUGGAUGAAGGCGGGGGAUCGCAAGACCUCGCGCGAUUGGAGCGGCCGAUAUCAGAUUAGGUAGUUGGUGGGGUAAAGGCCCACCAAGCCAACGAUCUGUAGCUGGUCUGAGAGGACGACCAGCCACACUGGAACUGAGACGCGGUCCAGACUCCUACGGGAGGAAGCAGUGGGGAAUUUUGGACAAUGGGCGAAAGCCUGAUCCAGCCAUUCCGCGUGCAGGAUGGAGGCCCUCGGGUUGUAAACUGCUUUUGUACGGAACGAAAAGGUCUCUCUUAAUACGGGGGGCUCAUGACGGUACCGUAAGAAUAAGCACCGGCUAACUACGUGCCAGCCGCCGCGGUAA